rnacentral:rRNA from 1 species
UACGGGGGGGGCAAGCGUUGUUCGGAAUUACUGGGCGUAAAGGGCCAGUAGGCGGCCAACUAAGUCGGAUGUGAAAUCCCCAGGCUUAACCUGGGAACUGCAUCCGAUACUGGAUGGCUUGAGUUCGGGAGAGGGGUGCGGAAUUCCAGGUGUAGCGGUGAAAUGCGUAGAUAUCUGGAGGAACACCGGUGGCGAAGGCGGCAUCCUGGACCGACACUGACGCCGAGGAGCGAAAGCCAGGGGAGCAAACGGG